rnacentral:lncRNA from 1 species
AGUGGUGUUUCAGCAGGUGUCUUAUUCCCUAGUUCCUCCUCUCCAGCUCCCCGGCCUUCCUGUCCUCUACAACAGCCUGGACGCCGAAGCGCAGAGCUCCCGUGUGGCGUGAAACUGGACAGAUGAGCGGUCAGUUCGAAGGAGCCCAGGACACUUCACCCACAGGAGAGCCCUUCCUCCAGCCUCAGGGGUGACCUGUCGCAGCUGCUCGCUCUCCACAGACCAGCUGGAGGAGUGAGAACAGGUAGAGAGCGAAUUCAACAGGAGACUCCGGGAGGCCAGGCUGUUGCUG